AAGGAAGAAAAAAAACAUAACAGGUCGAUUGAGCGGACGCAAUAGCAGGAGAGAGGAAACCCUAACGAAGAUACCCUGAUCGAUUGUGCGGCGCGCCGUAGAUGGAGCUCAUCGAAAGCGGGUUGGCGCUGAUGGACAUCUCCAUGGGCGAGUCCAGUACAAAGACGAGGAAGAAGAGCAUUAGAGAGGCGGAGUUAACCAAUCUGAGGCGCAUCAGAGAGUCGCAGGAGAGGAUCCGGAGGAGGCAGGAGCAACUUCUUCGCGAUCCACAGCCACCUCUUAGCUACGAGUUUGAAGAGGAAGAGGAGAAAGAGGAGAAGGCUCCUACAGAUGAGCAGGAGACUGAGGAGUACCGUAGGAUGUGGGAGAUGUGCUUUCGCAACAAUUUCGGUUCAAUCGACGCGGAAACUUCUCUUGGUCCCAUUUACUGUACUGGAACCAGCCCAGCAGAUGCUCUUCCGGAGAGUUGUAUGCAGAUCUUCUCCAUCAAAGUCACUGACCUAAAUAAUGGUCUCAGCUUGCCACUGGAGGUUCACGGCUUUGUUGCUGCCAGGGACUCGGUAGAUCGUAAACGCAACUAUCUCUUCAGAUGCACCAGGGAUAACUGCCAAAUCCUCACUCCAAAGGAUCCAUUCUUGCACUUAACAGGCCCCUCUCGGGCAGUUCUGUUAAUUGACCGUGUCGCGAUUGAAGUUCAGCUAAAAGUAAAGGGCAAAAAAGAGUCUGAAGAUGAAGUGUUAGCUUUCAAAUGUUUUUAUUUCCACGAAGGGUAUCAUUUAGAAGAUGGGAUCCGUUUUCGCAUCCCCAGCAAGCGCUGCAUGCUUGAGUUUGCUUUGGCAGUGCUGCCUAUGUCAGUUGAGGCCAUUGUGGGCAUCCGGGUUGUUGAUGGGUCAUGGCCUGAUCAUUGUCGGGGGUUGGUUGUUUGCAGUACCAACAGUGUAAAAAAAGGGAAAGUGGUGCUGCUUGAUUUUCAAAAUGGAGAACUACCUACCAAGUCAGAUGGUGUGGUUGAGCUUGCAAGGAGUGUUGUUUCUAUUGAUUACCCAGAGGGAGAACUGACUGUUUCUGUGGAGGCGUCGCGGGAUCGAUUUUCUGCACGAGGUAUAGUCGGCUUUGGGAUGAAAGUGACAAGGGGAAGUAUUACUCGCACGUGUGAUAUGGUUUUCUGCAAAAUGAAAAUUUCAGUUUCUUGGUCCCUUGUUUCUUGCUAUCGGGUUUAAAGUCCAACCUUAUCUAUUUGGCCAACCUUACCCGUGGUUUGCCCAGCUAAGCCAUUGGACUAUUUAUGUAUUUAUAUUGUCAUGCUUUGGUACCUACCUACCUGUUGUACUUGAUUAUUCAUGUUUGCUUCGAUGUGGUAUUACUCAGGCUGCUCAGGUAAUGAGCAUAUUAGUUGGUGCUACUAAACUUUCCCACUCCGCUCUAAUGUUAUAUAUUAUCUGUGGCUUAUUUGUAAUGUUGCUGCUACAUUGUCAUAUAUAGCAUGUACCAGAACUUUGCGUGCA